AAAAAAUAAUACGAUUAAUUUCAAAAGGUUAAUAAUUAUUUUUCUGAUGUUUCUGUUAGAGGUUAGAAUCGAAAAACAUGGCUCCUUCCGCCAUCUUGAUUUAAUCAUAUUAGAGUCACACAUCCGUAGUGUUUAAGAGUAUAUUAAACAUGAAGAGAAAAAAAAAAAAAUAAUAAGAGAAAGAAAAGAAGAAAUAAAAUUGCUGGCAAUUUCAAGGGUUUUAUCAUAAAUAUAUUUUAUUACCUGUACAUUUCCGCGAAAUGACAGAAUCGAAAAUGUGACACGAAACAGGACGACAGAUUUACUUCGGUACUUAUUUCGCAAAAGAGAGAGAGAGAGAGAGAGAGAGAAAUAUUGUAAGAAAUCACAUUUUUUUUGAAAGAGAAAAAAAAUAAUAGUAGAAAAGAAAAUAAAAACUUCGGUGAGAAGCAAAUUGGAAAUUUCGUUUUCCAUCCGAAACAGAUUCGUUUUGAUUGGUUUUAGAUUAAUUUUUUAAUCCAUUAUUCUGCCAGUGAGUUGUUCAAAAAAAAUAAAAAAAUAUCAUUGAAAAAGAAAACGAAGAAUUUUUCAUGAAUCAUAUAUGGAUAUUAAACAAGUAAUGAAUCGUUUUACAUUAAUUACACGUGUAUUAAUUGUAUCAAUUAUGCAGAUCACAUAUGAUUCAUGAAGUUAGAGACAGGUGCAAAAUUUGAAUGGUAAUUUCAUCGGAAAUUUUAAAUUUCAGUGAAAAAUGUCUGAUGAAAGUGAUAAUUAUUAAAAAAAAGUAUAGGAAAUUUUCAGCAAACCAACACGACGAAUAAAUUAAUGCGUCCAAAUAGGUUCUUUUAAUCCAAAAAUGAUAUUGCUCGAGAAUUGCGAAACGAUUUGAAAAAUUGUUCACUUUUUUCAAACGAAGCACGAACACUUGCAAAUGAAUGUGUAAAAUAGAUGAACAUUUACAGAACUCCUCCUAGUACAAUCGUUUUACGAAGAAAAAA